UACAGGGGGCAAGCGUUGUUCGGAAUUACUGGCGUAAAGGCUCGUAGGCGGCCAACUAAGUCGACGUGAAUCCCCAGGCUUAACCUGGAACUGCGUCGGAUACUGGAUGGCUUGAAUUCGGGAGAGGAUGCAGAAUUCAGGUGUAGCGGUGAAAUGCGUAGAUAUCUGGAGGAAUACCGGUGGCGAAGGCGGCAUCCUGGGCCGACGAUUGACGCUGAUGAGCGAAAGCUAGGGAGCAA
rnacentral:rRNA from 1 species